rnacentral:rRNA from 1 species
UAGGGAAUAUUGGACAGUGGGGGCAACCCUGAUCCAGCCAUGCCGCGUGAGUGAAGAAGGCCCUCGGGUUGUAAAGCUCUUUUGUCCGGAAAGAAAAGCUUCGGGUUAAUACCCCGGGGUUCUGACGGUACCGGAAGAAUAAGCACCGGCUAACUUCGUGCCAGCAGCCGCGGUAAUACGAAGGGUGCAAGCGUUACUCGGAAUUACUGGGCGUAAAGCGUGCGUAGGUGGUUGUUUAAGUCUGAUGUGAAAGCCCUGGGCUCAACCUGGGAAUGGCAUUGGAAACUGGGCAGCUAGAGUGCGGUAGAGGGUAGUGGAAUUCCCGGUGUAGCAGUGAAAUGCGUAGAGACCGGGAGGAACAUCUGUGGCGAAGGCGACUGCCUGGACCAGCACUGACACUGAGGCACGAAAGCGUGGGGAGCAAAC